rnacentral:tRNA from 2 species
GUAAAUAUAGUUUAAAAAAAACAUUAGAUUGUGAAUCUAAUAAUAGAAGUUUAUACCUCCUUAUUUACC